ACGAGUUACCAUGAGAUUAAGUCAAAUGAAUGAGAAUGAUGCAACAAUAUGUAAGUACAUACAAUGGUUAGAAUCGAUUCAAAAAGGUAAUGGAUUAAUCAAUGAAAGGCAAUCAAAGAUCUACCAUAUGAUCAUAGCAAAUGAAAUUAGACAUAUAAAGUAUUCAUCACCUAAAUUGAAAUGGGAUUUUCAAUUUACAAUACGAUCAUAAAUCGGUCCCAAUUCUUCAAUUUUUAUCGUCGCUGAUGUGUUGUGCACGUUUCAUCAUGUUGUUCUUAUUCGGUUUUGCCAUCGGCGGUGAAUAUUGAAGCUUUUCCACUCGUGCAUUGCUGAUUUCGAUGAAGAUCGAGAUGUUAUUGCGGGAUGAUGCUCCCUUUCAACUUCCCGUUAUGAUUCAUUGUGAAGCCUUCAUAGGAGAUUUGUAUGCUUUCGCCGUUAUUCCCUUUCUUCAAUCUGCAUUCGAUUUCUCCUUCUUCCAAAACACGAUUCUGAUUUUGCAUUUGGGUUUUCCGGUUCCGUACCCGUUCGGGUUGUGAAUGAAAGGUUGGUUUUAUGCAGGUUUUUGAGGGAGUUCGAAGUUGUGUAGAAGUUUGUUGGAAGGUUUAUUGAAUUGGUUGGAGAAGUUAUGCAGGAUGGUGAACAAUGGAGGGUAUAGGUUGUUCAGAGUUGGUUGAGGGAGUUUGUUAGCAGGUUCUGUUAACAGUUGGGCGGUUGAAGAGUUGGUUAGGUGGUUAUCAGAAAUUGGUUGGAGGUUCUCUUUGAAGGAAUUCAUUUUUGCCGUUGGAGAUUCUUGUUGUAUGAGGUUUUGUUUCGAUCUGUUUUUAUGGUUAGGAGGGUGGAUCGAUUCUGUUAGAAGGAGAAAGAAUGGUGGAGGGUUGACUAUAUGGCUUUGGGAGAAGCCGUUUCAGGUUUUAUAACCGGUUGGUUUCCAUUUUAAGGUUGAGUCACAUUGUGUAGAUAGAGUUCUGAGUUGGAGCACUUUUAAUAAUGGGCCUUUUUGUCGCAAUAUAUGUGCAAUCAUCCAGAGGAGGAGGUAAUACAUUCCCUGAGUGUCGUUGCAUAUUAGUUAUGGCACCAGUGAUUUGUUAAACUCUAGUGUAAGCUGAUAUUAUUUCAUCUUUUGUACAACUAUCUUCUUGAGAGCCAACCUUAUGCAAAUAUAGACAAUCGGGGUUUUAUGCGAGGUGGACUUCGGAGCCAUGCACGACAAUGUUUUGUGCUUCCAAAACAAGCCCUUAAAGGUUUGCCUUCCUAAACAAAAUCCAUGUACAUUUUGAAUACACUGAAUUGCUUCCUUCAAGUCUCUGUUCAGCCUGUCGACAAGGUGAUGGAAACAAUAGUCGUGGUAGCAGUUUACGAAUAUCUCCAAGACAACGACCUUUUUUUUGGCCCAUUCUAAAAAUUUGUAAUCUGUUUAGAUGUUGAUAAAGCUGAUUUCAGCUCCUGCAGAAAACAAUGCCAGUCGGCCUCAAUUUCGGCAUCUACAACAACAAAGGCUACAUGACAAAUGCCACCAUUUCCAUCGACAAAAAUUGCAGCUGAUAAUUCUCCUUGACACUUUGAGUUCAAAGGAGUUCUGCCAAGGAAAAUGAGGCAUGAAAUGAUACAAAAUGAUGAUGGAAACUUGAGUCCUCCUUCGUCGUGAAUGUGGCGGAACUUCCUGGAUUUAUCUCUUUUAUUUUCUCAUUGAAGAAUGGCAAUUGAGUGUUACUCAUGUGUGUACUCAUGCACACUUGGAUCUUUUUUGAUUGUUUUUAGGUGUUGUUAAUGUUUCAUGUCAUGUAUAGGUUAGGUUAGGUGAUGGUUGGUUUGAAUUUGAAAUGGAUUGUAUGGCUAUGUGUUGAUUCAUGUAUUUGAAAUUAUGUGGUUCAGCAUGUAACGUGAAACGUUGUAUGUAAUGGGCAUUGCCACUUAUUGUA